AGAUCUCGAUAAAAUUUAUAUGUGACCACAUGAUAAACAUCAGCUUUCGAUUAAAGUAAAAAUUAUCAAAAUCGAUACACCCAGUAAAAAGUUAUUGCGGAUUUUCAAGAGUUUCCCUCGAUUUCUCUGGGAUCCCAUCAUCAGAUUCUGGUUUCCUUAUUAUGGUACCAAACUAGGGAUAUCCCCUUUCCAACAAAAAAAGAAUUAUCAAAAUCGGUACACCCAGUAGAAAGUUAUGUGGUAUAAUACAACGUAGAUCGACGAAAAAAGCGUCAAGUAAAAACGCAUUAUUAGAUAUAACUCGAAAAGUAGUUGUUAGAUCUCAAAUAAAUUUAAAUGGGACCAAUCGGCACACACCACCUUUCGAUUAAAACAAAAUUUGUCGAAAUCGGUCUACCUGGUCAAAAGUUCUGAUGUAAGAUACAUAAGAAAA
rnacentral:misc_RNA from 1 species